rnacentral:rRNA from 1 species
GAUGAACGCUGGCGGCGUGCCUAACACAUGCAAGUCGAGCGAACGGACGAUAAGUUUGUUUCUUUGAUGUUUGCGGCGGACGGGUGAGUAACAUGUGGAUAAUCUACUUAUAUGUCUGGGAUAAUUUCGGGAAACCGGCUCUAAUACCGGAUAAUAUUUUGAACCGCAUGGUUCAAAAGUGAAUGACGGCUUUGCUGUCUCUUAUAGCUGGUUCCGCGCUGCAUUAGCUAGUUGGUAAGGUAACGGGUUAUCAAGGCAACGAUGCAUAGCCGACCUGAGAGGGGGAUCGGCGACACUGGAGCUGGGACGCGGUCCAGACGCCUACGGGAGGCAGCAGUAGGGAAUCGUCCGCAAUAGGCGAAAACCUGACAGAGCGACGGCGCGUGAGUGAUGGAGGUCUUCGGAUCGUAAAGCUCUGUUAUUGGGGAAGAACAGAUGUGUAAGUAGAUGAAGACAUCUUGACGGUACCUGAUCAAGAAGCAACGGCUAACUACGUG